rnacentral:sRNA from 1 species
GAAUAAGAUGGCGGGGAAGAAGAAUGUUCUGUCGUCCCUCGCGGUUUACGCGGAAGAUUCAGAGCCCGAGUCUGAUGGCGAGGCUGGAAUCGAGGCGGUGGGCAGCGCGGCUGAGGAGAAAGGCGGAUUGGUAUCUGAUGCCUAUGGGGAGGAUGACUUUUCUCGUCUAGGGGGUGAUGAAGAUGGUUAUGAAGAAGAAGAAGAUGAGAACAGUAGACAGUCGGAAGAUGACGAUUCAGAGACUGAAAAACCUGAGGCUGAUGACCCAAAGGAGAAGCUCGGCACAGUGACAGAGGCACCCAGGGCUCAGCAAGCUCAUGGCCCAGCUUGUUGGACUCAGAGGGCAGAAGAAUCACAUUCUAAACAUGACAAGAGACGUGACUCAACAACCUCAGCUGAGCCUGACAGCACACACACCCCACACACCUUUCCAUCUCCAGGGUCACAAAAGCCACAAGAAGCCACGGGGAGGCUCCUGGCCUCUUACUUUACCUAAGGAGCCCCUGAAGUGGCAAGUGUGUUUCCCUUUGAAGAGCCGUUGCAUGUUUGGUGACUAACUUCCUGUGGCUUUGGGGUAGACAUGUUAGACUCCUCGUGUGGGUAUUGGGCCUCUGCAGUUGAGUCCAUGAGAAGGGGUGGGUGUGGUAUGGUGUGGAGCCUUGGGAAAGGGUGAGUGGGGGCUGGAGGGAGAGUUAACGAAUGGUCAGUCCCUGUAUGAUCAGCCAGCUGGCGGGUGGGGGAGGAGCUGAUGUUUUCCUACAAUCAGCACCCAGAAAGCUGUUCUCUAGAGGGAAAAUGUGAGGGCAUUUUACAGUCCCAUGUAUUGUUACUAACACUCUUGAACACUGGUUUCCUGAGAGUCACUGCUAC